AACGUAGGUGGCGAGCGUUAUCCGGAUUUAUUGGGCGUAAAGAGGGCGCAGGCGGUUUUGCAAGUCGGAUGUAAAAUCUCCCAGCUUAACUGGGAGGGAUCACCCGAUACUGUUAAACUAGAGUGCAACAAGGGGAGGUAGAAUUCCCGGUGUAGUGGUGAAAUGCGUAGAUAUCGGGAGGAAUACCAGUGGCGAAGGCGGCCUCCUGGGUUGUCACUGACGCUUAAGCCCGAAGGCGUGGGGAGCAAACAGGAUUAGAUACCCUCGUA
rnacentral:rRNA from 1 species